rnacentral:rRNA from 1 species
CCUACGGGUGACAGCAGUGAGGAAUAUUGGUCAAUGGGCGAGAGCCUGAACCAGCCAAGUCGCGUGAGGGAGUACUGCCCUAUGGGUUGUAAACCUCGUUUGUCGGGGAGCAAAAGCCUGACGUGUCCGGCUGUGAGAGUACCCGAAGAAAAAGCAUCGGCUAACUCCGUGCCAGCAGCCGCGGUAAUACGGAGGAUGCGAGCGUUAUCCGGAUUGAUUGGGUUAAAAGGGUGCGCAGGCGGAUUUUUAAGUCAGCGGUCAAAUCGUGGGGCUCAACCCCAUCCAGCCGUUGAAACUGGGGAGCUAGAGUGUGAGAGAGAUAUGCGGAAUGCGUGGUGUAGCGGUGAAAUGCAUAGAUAUCACGCAGAACCCCGAUUGCGAAGGCAGCAUACCGGUGCACAACUGACGCUCAGGCACGAAAGCGUGGGUAUCGAACAGGAUUAGAUACCCCGGUAGUC